CGACGCGAUUGGCGCUGCUUCCUCCGCCUCCGGACCCAAGAUAGAACCGCCGAGGGCUCAUCUGACAGGACAGCCUGAAGGCGGGACCUCAUCGCAGGGCCCAGAAUCGAAGAAGAGCGGGGAGGAUGCUGCUGCCAGUCCAUGUUGCCUCGUUGCGAGGAGGUCCCCCGUUUCCCUAACGCAGGGACGCCAGCAAGAGCCACAGGCAAAAGGUAUCAGGAUUGGUGGCUUCGCGCUGGACCAUCGGAGGGUGGGGAGCGGUCUGCCGGUCUGCCGCAACGGCGAGGAGUGCGAGAGAGCGAGAGGCCUUGAAAGACCAGUUGCGGGUUUCGGCGACGCGCGGGUGCAGCGAGCGAGUCCACUUUGAUUGCGCCGCAGCCGCGGACAGGUUUCGCCUCCUGGUGCCAUGCGCGACCGGGCGGUAGCGAAGGCACUCGGACACUGCCUUCUUUCCUCGCUGUCAACCUUUGCGCGACACAUCAUUUGAAUGGUUACAGAGGUUUAGGGACCCAUCCGCUGGAAAAUGGACUGUGCCGUCAGUACUCGCAAAUGACAGCUUAAGGAAUCUAGGGCGCAGAGAAGAAAAAAGGUGCUUGACGAAACAUACAAAAUAGAAUAAUGUAACAAGCAUCGGAGCUACAAACGACUCAGGAGUACAAACUAAAAUUGCAACACAGUUGCAGCUACCAAAUUUUAGAGGACAACAAAACAUCCACUCAAACUGUGAAGGGAAGCAGAAGAAGCCACUGGUGGUUGUUGGAAGCAUUUGAGGGAGUGUUCGGAAAUCGCGGUUUGCAAGGUGCACACGUGCUGUACGAAUAGCGGCCUUUGGACAUCUCAUCGAAUAGCGACCUCAGCGAUGCUGGUUCUGUGCUAGGGUGAAAGGUGGUUGAUGAUAUCUCGUGGAGCGUGUGGAUGGGAGUAGGGUCGAUCUUAGGUCAGGAUGGUUUCUGAGGUGUAGUGCGUCGGUGGACGAGCACCGAGUAGAAU